rnacentral:lncRNA from 1 species
UUUUCUUUUUUCCCCCCAUUAGGAAAGAUACUUACAUGUUUUAUUCAAAAUUCUUUUAAGCCACCACCAAAGAAGAGAAAGAAAUUAACAUAAUAACUCUCCGGGUGGUUCCCUGUUUACAAACAGCACCAUGACCUAGGGAGGACCCUCAUUAUGAACUGCAUUCUACAGGAAAAAAGACGCACGUCCCCUUCAAAUGAUGUGGCUUGCCCCAUGGAAAACAGAGUUGGUGUCUGAGUCAGGUUUGCUUCCCCAGAGCUCCAGGGCCAUUGCUAUUGUCCUCUUUCCUGCACGCUUCCUCAUUUGCAAAACAAUGUGAAUUCUGUUCUUGCCCUUAUAAUUAAAGGAAAAAUGAGGAUGAUCAAGAGUGGUUGCUUCAGGGACCUUCCACACUGCUAAGGCCACCUCUAUUUUUCCAGACUCCAGGUAUAUUUUAAAAUGAAGACAUGUCAAAAUAGGUUUCUGUUGUAGUUAAAAUGUUUACACCUAUUAGCAAUUAUAUUUGUAUGAGAGUUGAAGGCUCUUCCAACACUGUCAGUGUACUUCUGUGACAGUAUGUAUCUAAACUCAUUUGGAAAUAAACAAUAAUUGUCUAAUUUUGGCCCUUAAUUGAGGUCCUAGCUUAAUGCCCUCUUUUCUCAUAAAGGAAUGCCCUUACAUGAACAUUAGGACUUUAGAGGACAGCAGUGGUGGCAACAGUGGAGUUGACUGCAGCUGGGGCAAAGGUAGCAGGUUAAUACCAGCUAACACCUCCAGAGCAUUUGCCAUGUGCCAGGGACAAUGCUAAGUAUUUUAUGUGUGCUAACACUAUGCUUUCUUAGGCAGGUACUAUUAUUAUCUGCUUUUUUUAACAGAUGAAGAAACCGAGCCACACAGAGGUUAAAUAACUUGCCCAAGGGUGCACAACUACUAGUAGUAUUGAGUCUAUACGCUUAAGUAUUGUGCUAUUCCAUUUCUUACUGAAUACAAAGCAAAAAAACAUAAGGAUCAGAGGAGGAGUGUGAGUGUCCUCAUACUCACAGCAAAAGGAGGGAAUUCAGGAGAGGAUUGAAGAAGCGGUUCCUGUUUUUGAGGCAUUUGCAAUCAUUGCUGGAGAGACAGAACCAACAGAUGGGGAACAAUGGUCAGGGACUCCAGGCCUGAUUUAAGCCAAUGCCGCCCUGUGGUCUUUACCCACGAAUGGUGUGGAAAAUGAGAGCAGGGAAGAGGAUUUACUCACUGGCUGUGGAGUUAGGUCAGAAGGGGGAUGGAAAGAAGGAACCGGAUGGCUUUGGGGACAUUUCUUAAUCUUUAGGCUUCACCUUCCUUAACUGAAAAUAAAGCCAUAAGUUACCUCCAGAACUCUUUCAGCCUUAACAUUCAAUGAAUCUCGAUCUUUUCUGUAAAGCUAGAUUUUUAUGUGUGGUAUUUGCUAAAAGUUGGGGCGCACCCUUACUUGAUCUGGCCCAGACUAUAGAUCACAUGAAGAUCACAUUAAAUCAGGUCGAAAGACUUUUCUGACUUCAAAUUAGCGAAUAUGCAUAUGUGCUGAACUUUAGUCUUUUCCUUUUCUUGAACAUUCAGUUUAAUAAUUGUCUCUGCCAUUUUACACAUUUAUUUUUCUUGGCUAUUUAUAUUUUCCUUUUGGGGAGGUCAAAUAUAAAAAUAGGAUAUACAUGGACUGUAGCAGUUGAUAAUAACUUGUGUGCUUUGAUUUUUUAAAGAACCAAAAUUUACCAAAAGGGAUCUUGCUCACUUAUCAAUUUGUUUUUUUUAUAUCUCUGUUUUUGUACAUAUCUUUUAAGUUAUUCCAGACCCUGACAACUGGACACCUGGUUAUGAUUGCAGAAUGUGCAGUUUAAAAUCCUAUUUUAAAACUUAGUUUUUGUUUUUCUUUUUGAGACAGGGUCUC